rnacentral:rRNA from 1 species
ACGCUCGACACCUACGGGGGCAGCAGUGGGGAAUAUUGCACAAUGGGGGAAACCCUGAUGCAGCGACGCCGCGUGAGCGAAGAAGUAUUUCGGUAUGUAAAGCUCUAUCAGCAGGGAAGAAACUGACGGUACCUGACUAAGAAGCACCGGCUAAAUACGUGCCGGCAGUCGCGGUAAUCUGAGCGGGCUGGCAAGGC